rnacentral:rRNA from 1 species
GGAUUGCCCUAGUAACGGCGAGUGAAGCGGCAACAGCUCAAAUUUGAAAUCUGGCGUCUUUGGCGUCCGAGUUGUAAUUUGCAGAGGGCGCUUUGGCAUUGGCAGCGGUCCAAGUUCCUUGGAACAGGACGUCACAGAGGGUGAGAAUCCCGUACGUGGUCGCUAGCCUCUACCGUGUAAAGCCCCUUCGACGAGUCGAGUUGUUUGGGAAUGCAGCUCUAAAUGGGAGGUAAAUUUCUUCUAAAGCUAAAUACUGGCCAGAGACCGAUAGCGCACAAGUAGAGUGAUCGAAAGAUGAAAAGCACUUUGGAAAGAGAGUUAAAAAGCACGUGAAAUUGUUGAAAGGGAAGCGCUUGCAGCCAGACUUGCCUGUAGUUGCUCAUCCGGGUUUUUACCCGGUGCACUCUUCUAUAGGCAGGCCAGCAUCAGUUUGGGCGGUUGGAUAAAGGUCUCUGUCAUGUACCUCCUUUCGGGGAGAUCUUAUAGGGGAGACGACAUGCAACCAGCCCGGACUGAGGUCCGCGCAUCUGCUAGGAUGCUGGCGUAAUGGCUGUAAGCGGCCCGUCUUGAAACACGGACCAAGGAGUCUAACAUCUAUGCGAGUGUUUGGGUGUCAAGCCCGAACGCGUAAUGAAAGUGAACGGAGGUGGGAACCUUUCGGGGUGCACCAUCGACCGAUCCUGAUGUCUUCGGAUGGAUUUGAGUAAGAGCAUAGCUGUUGGGACCCGAAAGAUGGUGAACUAUGCUUGAAUAGGGUGAAGCCAGAGGAAACUCUGGUGGAGGCUCGCAGCGGUUCUGACGUGCAAAUCGAUCGUCAAAUUUGGGCAUAGGGGCGAAAGACUAAU